UUUGGUUCACCGUUUGUGAUUCCACGGAGUUGCUAUUACAUGCGCAUUCCCUCAGCUCACGGAAUUGCUAUUACAGGGGUUGGGGUCUGAAUACCUAUUCAACGCCCCACCGUUUAGGUUUUUAGACCAAAAUAUCCCGCCUCUAUUUUUCUUAAAAUUCAUCACUCCAGAUUUCUUCCUCCCCAAAUCAAACAUCCAUUCGCCCUUCAUCUUCAUCUCCUACAUUUUCUUUUUCUUUUUUUUCCUGAUUCCUUUUAGUUAAAGUUCUUUCAUCUUCAUCUCCCCAAAUAUUGUAAGUUCGGUUGAGACUUUUUCUGCCCUUCUUUUCCCCUUUCAGCCACGUUUUCUUAUUCUUGUUUACACAAAUUAAAAUUAUGAUGUUUCUAUUGGAUGCACUUAAAUCCAGAAGUACCAGCAAAGUACUGAGAUCUCCUCAUCAGGAAACUGCCUUUCCAA
rnacentral:lncRNA from 1 species